ensembl:lncRNA
AGACGAUGUCCAUAAAUUAGACAACAAUACUGAACAGUUGUAGCCCGUUGGUAGUGGUAGGCUUCUGGCUGUGAUCUCUGACCACUGUAACAGUGAAUAGUGGCAAUUUACCCGCGGUGUAUAGGCUUGUUUACUAGGCUAACUAGUGCAUUGGGGUGGGCUAUGUGCAGCAUGGGCAUACAGGAAACCACUCUAGCCGCUUAACUCACCUUGGCCACGAGCUCUAUAGUUUACAGCUAUUGCAUCACCUACAAAGCAUCAACUGAAUGUUGAAUGUCAGUUUGAGAGAUCAUCCCGGGCUUUGCCCCGUCUGCUGUAGCUGAGAUGUCCCUGGAGGACAUAGAACAACAAGACUAUGAUGUUUCUGACACUGAGAGAGUCAGAGCCUUGUCCCAGUCUCUAGACCUGCCUGUCUGUGUGGUGGAUGACCACCUGACCUCUGAAGCUGUCAAUGAGAUGGAGCAGAGCAAUUCUACCAGGAGCAGAGCAACCUCAGUGAUGGAAACCACAGAAGAGGGGAAGCUCAACAAUGUGGAACAUCUGACACUGAUGGACUUCCUUCAAAACCUAACUGAGAAG